AACAUCGAUGUGCUUACACCUUCCAUGCAUUUACAGGAUUCUUUGAAGAUUGAUUGUCGAGCUAUUAUCACAAAACAUAGGGUAACUCUCACCUUGUGAAGCCCCUAGCUUUUCCAAAAUCCCCCCUUCUCAUCCAAAAACUUGACUAGCACAAGACGCAAGCCAGCUACAAAUUCUGCCUCUGUGUUGAGAAGAGAGUAACAAUAGGCUGUUUUUAGAUGACAUGAAACAACUCCGAGCUUAGCAAGAAAGAAAGCAUAGCCCGAAGGUACUUUUUGUCUUCUAAGUCACCGGCUAAUCGCUAUUGAAUAGGCAACCAAAUUUCACUCCACCCUUCUUGUAGAAAAUACCAAAGCUGAUUGUUCCUUUCAAGAGACCUCAGGACUCUCUUCACUGCCUGCAAAAUGUAGCUCUGUUGGCGCCAUAUAUCGACUAACAAGGCUAUAACAACAUAAAUCGGGUAUAGUAGCGUCAAAUACAGUGAGGCUACUACAACUUGUUUGUAAAAAGUUGGAAUUCCACCUUAACACCAUUGCAUUUUGCACAUCUUUGAAACCAGGAACAAUGGGAAUUGAGCACUGAGGAGUUACUCUUCUCCAUUUCUGACCGUUUGCAGCACAUCCAUUGCAUACUUCCUUGGCAAAAUAUAAAAUUCCAUCAUCUCUUUGCAGCACCUCAAAUACCAAGGAAGGACCUCAUCCUCCCAAGUCACUCAUAUCAAACUCAUGACAUCAAGAAUUCUUAAAAAAUCACAAAAUCAUGGUUCAUCAUUUCCCCGUAAAUACGAUCAUCAACAUAGAUACUGAUAAUCAAAAAUUUGACAUCCUUUCCAUGUAACCUGAAAAACAAGGUAUUGCUCGCUGUGACAUUGUCGAACCCUUCCUUCAAGAAGAAAAGCUCUUACGGCUAAACCGGCUGUGGAGCUUGUUUAACCCAUAUAAAAAGCUUUCUCAGCUUUAACACCAGGUGUGGACUGUUUUAUCUCAUAACCCCUCGGUUUGCCUACAAAAUACCUCUCAGUUAGCUCACCAUGUAGAAACGAAGAUUUACAUCUAGUUGAUACUUUCAAGGCCCUUUUGUGCCAGCAAUAGCAAUAAUCAAUCGGAUAGUGUCCAUCUUGCAUGGUGACAAACACCUCUGUGUAAUCGACUCCAUGCUGUUGUGUAUCCCUUUAGCAAACUAGGCCGAGCUUUUACUGGCCACCUCACAGUUUCGUCAAGCUUUGUCUUGUAAACCACUUAACACCAAAUUUCUUUGCCCAGAUGAGUAGAUAUUGUAAAAACCAAGUGUCAUUUUCUCAAUAGUCCUAUCUCGGAGUCAUAGGGCUUCUCCACUACUCCCUCUUUACUGCCUUUCAAAACACACACCGGAAAUUAGAGGGAACAACACUAUAGUAGCCACUCGUCUUCUCAGGAAAAGUUCCCUUCCACUCUCUCGGAAUGCCUCCAUCCAGGCCGGGUCGUCUUCGGAUUCUUUCUUCAUUGGAGCUGGAUCCGUCUUCAUUAGAAGCUUAGGUGGGCUUGUAUCAUUCACAGAUUUGAAGGACUGAGUCUCGACUUCAUCUGCAUCAUUAUCUCCUUCACUAUCUUCUUCAAUGGACAUCUCGUAUGGACAACUUCUCUUAGUUUUCACCCCAUUCUAAGUCAACAAUAAUAAACCUUUGGAACUAUUAUUCCCAAUCCCAAGCACUUAUCUUCUUCAAACUAACAUCUCUGCUCACAAAAAUCUUUUGGAUAGAGAUCAUAAAGCCUAUAGGCUUUGAUUCCUCGCGGACAACCACCAACAACACGCAACUAAAACUCUUGUAUUCCAACUUCUUCUUUUGGCAUCUGGUACGUGUACAGUGGAAACACAGCCAAAAACUCGAAAAAUGCUCAAACUGAAGGUUAAUUCCGCUCCAAGCCUCCUCCGGAGUCAUAGCUUUCGACAGCCAAGGUAGGACUGCGAUUUAGGACGAUUGAACAGUCAAUUCACAGAUUCAGGCCAAAAGUUAUUUGGAAAUCUUUUUCUCCGAAAGCAAACUCCGCACCAUAUUCAUUAACCGUCCUAUUCUCCUUGCGGCAACUCCAUUUGUUGUGGAGUGUAUGCAGCCGUUAGUUCCUCUUGAUUCCCAUUUCUUUACCAGAAAUGAUUAAAUCUUGUGAAGGUGAACAUCCCCUCAUUGAAUCAGUUACGUAAACACUUGAGGUAAUUCCAUGUUUCUUUCUCAACAAGACUCUUGAAGUAUUUAAAAGUGAUGAAUGCAUCGACUUCUCAACAAAAAGUAUAUCCAUAGUUUUCGAGGAAAGUCAAUCAAUGAACCAGAUUGACUAACUCUUGUUGCUAUUUGAUAUGGGAGUGCUCGGACCACACAACUCUGCAGGAUCAUUGGCGUUUCUGUGUUGCCCUCCAAGUGCUCUUCUUUGGAAUGGCAUAGGUCUCGGUUUGCUUUCCUACCAGCAUUGUUUGUACUAAUAUUGUGGAGGCAGAGAAUUGUGGCAGUCCACGGCACCAUUUUCUUGAACUGAAGAGUUCGAGACCCUUGUAGCUUAGAUGACCGAACCUUGCAGUGCCACAAAAAGGGACAAACUGAGAGGUUGUAUGAAAACAAGCUUGCCUUCGUGGUGAGGACCUAGCCACCAGAAAGAACAUUCUAUUUUCUGGACAUCUCGGUUUGGGAUAAUCAAGCCCCUUCAUUGGAUGGUAGAUCCGACACAAAACCACGUGGAUUAAGAUGAUUAAUCCUUCUCCUGCAGCUGACGAUACUCACCAAGUUGUCCUUAACUCCGAAACAAAUAAAACACUCGGGAACCACAUGCAAGAACCACUCAACAUCAGUACCUCACUUCCCUUUUCCCAUCACGGACAUCUUUCGAAAUUAUUUCCAAGUUUCCUAUCUGCCCGCACCCUUUCGUUGAGAUCGCUUAAACAAGGUUUUGCUCAACACAUGUGGUUGCUGCAUCCUGAAUCUAGAAACCACACAUCUUCUCUUCUUUCUCCCGAUCAGCUCAACGUAUGACAUUAGCAACAUUUCUUUCAUCUACCGAGUCAGCAUAUAAUGGCUUCCCAGCUAGGACACUCAUAUUGGAAGUGUACCGAGCUUAUGGCACUUGUAACAUUCAACAAUGGAUUGUCGGAAGAUCUGACGCCCUCUACUCUACCUUUUCCUCUAAAUGAAUCCUCGGCCUCGGCCUCGGCCUCUCCCUCCUGAUCUGUCAUCAGAUUACUUUUAAGGCUUGUUCUUCCCCAUGAUGCUUAUGAACUUAUGCUCGAUGAACAAUUAGAGAGCUUUGCCAACUCAUCGAUGGAUAGACGCAAUAUCUUCGGACUCCUCAAUUAGAACAAAACAAUGUAAUUUAAAUUUGUCUGUUAAAGGAACGAAGUAUUUCUCUACAAAUUAGUAACAUCCACCAUGCGCUCACCAUUGCACCCUCAUUUUGUUAGCCACUGACAUGACCCUUGAAAAAUAAUAGAAAACUUUCUCACCAGAUGUAUCUCCAAAGGUUUCAAACUCUUUAGAAGAGCUUGAAGAACUGAUCGAUAUCAACUAGUGCAUUUCCCCUUCAUAUUUUUUUUUCAUUGAGUCCCAAAUCUGCGUUGAGGGUUAUUCUGAAGAAUGGUCUCCCAAAAAUGUUCGGUCAAUGGCCUGGAACAAAUAAUCUUUACCUUCAGAUCCUCAACUUCAACUAGUCAAGCCUUCUUUGCUGGCUUCUGUCAAGCCGCUCCAUCCUCGGAUCAGAAUAUCCAAUCUCACCAAGAGACUCCAAUUACUCUUUAGACAUUAGAAAAUUUCCAUUAGCUACUCAUGCGCAUAAUGGACCAUCGAAAUCGAGGAAUUGCAGGUUGCCACAAAAUUCCCUUCACUCGCUAUCUUUCUCUCUCUGUUUGGAAGUUCUCAAAGUCUGCCCUACUUUUUCGCUCAGCCCAGUGGGGGCUCUUAUACCAGAAUGUUGAGAACUAAGAACUCAAGGUAAAACUUAUGAACUUGAGCACAGGCAAAACAAAUCUGGGAAUCCUUCUUAUUGAAUGAAACAGAACUGGGGCUAUUAAAUAGCUUUACAAACAUAACAGAAAGCAACAAAUAAGCCCACGUUCAUGCUAACUAAAAUCGUGGUAAUCAACAGAAGAAUAGGUCAAUAACAACCUACUUCCCUAUUCAAUAGGGAGUAUUCAAACCAGAAAGAUAAAGACUCUAACUGAAAAAACCUAUUAUCUUGACCAUUUUUUUUCUAACAGAUCUGAAAUCUGUUUCAGCACAAUUUUUUUCUUCAAUAAAACAGUUUCUGCAAUUAGGUUUUUUUUUCCGAUACAGAUUCUGAAAAUCAGAAUCUGGAAAUAUUCUAUAAAAAUAAAAACAGUUUUGAAAUUGGUCCACGGUAUCAUUCUUGCAAUUCAAACAUUAUCUGAACAAAAAUUAUUUUUCGUAAUUCAAUUGCGGAUCACAACAAUGGCAGAUGCAGGAAUUAAGUGUAGGGGGCCAAGUUAUAUAUUUUUAAUGAAUCUUUUGGUAAAAACGUUUAGGAAGAGCCAACUUCAAUGGACAAAUAACAAAAUAAUCAAAAUUAAUAGACAAAAUAUAAGAAAAAUAAUUUCUUUUUCAAAUGUUUGGGGCCGUGGCCCCUGCCCGCCCCUGGGACCGCCACGGGAUCACCAUAUUAAAAUCCUUCUUAAGUCUGUUGAAAAAAACUAUGGCAAACAUAAAAUUCCAAAUAACAAUUUUUAUUGAUAGCAAUUCUACAUAAAGUAAAACUGAAUUUAUAAUUAUAAAACCGAAAAGAUAAAAACAAAAUUACGAAUCGAGUUCUAAAAACGCAGUCUCCGUAAAUCACUUGAGCAUUUUCAAACAUGUUGUUCAUUACACCCUUGCAUAUUAGGGCGUUGUUAUGUGCUAAAAGAUAAUUGGAAAAAGGGCACAAGAGGAAGGGAAGAAUUGAUGAAAUUUAAAUUUCUCCAAAUAGGCGAGCGUCAAAUAAUAAACCAAUACUCCGAAUUUAGUCUAUUCUAUUAAAAAUUCUGUCUUU
rnacentral:lncRNA from 1 species